rnacentral:rRNA from 1 species
UACAGAGGGUGCAAGCGUUGCUCGGAAUCAUUGGGCGUAAAGGGCAGGUAGGUGGUCUUAUUUGUCUGGGGUGAAAUCCCUGAGCUUAACUCAGGAAGUGCCUCAGAAACGGUAAGACUUGAGUGCUGGAGAGGGUCGUGGAAUUCCCGGUGUAGCGGUGAAAUGCGUAGAGAUCGGGAGGAACACCAGCGGCGAAGGCGGCGACCUUGACAGUGACUGACACUCAACUGCGAAAGCGUGGGGAUCAAACAGG